GUGCUCCAAAUUCCAUCCAAAUUAACUUUUUUGUUGUUGUUGUCUUUUGUUUUCCUCCAAGCCAGUAAGAGCAGUUAAAAGCCUUGAAAAUGGAUGUGCAGAUUUGGGGGAUUACUCCUGUUGUCCUUUGCCCCUAAUGAAGGAGAAAUUCCAGUGAGAAUGCUCCCUCGAUAGGAGUUAUCUAGGUGCCUCAGUGGAUGGAGAACCAGACCUAGAGAUGAGAGGUUCUGGAUCCAAAUUUGGCCUCAGACACAGUAUUGAUUGUAAGAUAGAAGGUAAGAGGUUUCUUUGAUUAUUUGUUUUUAAUGGAGAUAAUAUUAUUAAUCUCAGGCUUUUCCUAAGAAUU
rnacentral:lncRNA from 1 species